AGUUGUGGGUGUAACGUACCUACUAGCCUGCGACCGGUACGGGUUGUGAGAGCAAGAGCCCGGAGAUGGAUUCUGAGACACGAAUCCAGGCCCUACGGGGUGCAGCAGGCGCGAAAACUUUACAAUGCGGGCAACCGCGAUAAGGGAACCCCGAGUGCCACGUUACACAG
rnacentral:rRNA from 1 species